rnacentral:rRNA from 1 species
AACGAACGCUGGCGGCAUGCCUAACACAUGCAAGUCGAACGAACCCUUCGGGGUUAGUGGCGCACGGGUGCGUAACGCGUGGGAAUCUGCCCUUUGCUUCGGAAUAACAGUUAGAAAUGACUGCUAAUACCGGAUGAUGUCUUCGGACCAAAGAUUUAUCGGCAAAGGAUGAGCCCGCGUAGGAUUAGGUAGUUGGUGGGGUAAAGGCCUACCAAGCCGACGAUCCUUAGCUGGUCUGAGAGGAUGAUCAGCCACACUGGGACUGAGACACGGCCCAGACUCCGACGGGAGGCAGCAGUGGGGAAUAUUGGACAAUGGACGCAAGUCUGAACCAGCAAUGCCGCGUGAGUGAUGAAGGCCUUAGGGUUGUAAAGCUCUUUUACCAGGGAUGAUAAUGACAGUACCUGGAGAAUAAGCUCCGGCUAACUCCGUGCCAGCCGCCGCCGUAAUAC